GUUCAAACAAAAACACAGCUUAUCAGCUGACCGAGCGCAGUGACAGAAAGUGGAGCUAUGCUGUGGUAAAUUUCUGUUUUGACAUGUCAAUUCGUCUCUAAAUGUCCAUCCGUCUUCAGCGAGGGAAAAAAGAGGAAUGUCAACAGGAAGUAGAGCAACUUGCUGGUAUCUGAAAACAGUCAGAGGAGAGUGGAAGGAGUUGUUUCUCAACACAGAGUGAGACAUGGGCUCCGAGUACCGACCUCUGUCUCCGGCAGAGUCAUGUAGAAGUUUGUUUAUAGAGACAUCAGAGUGCUUUAUAUGCAGGGAUGGUGAACUUAAAGCCAGUGACCCGCUGAGGAAUUUCUGCGACUGCAAGAAUUUACUUGCCCAUCACGUGUGUCUGUCCACAUGGAUCCAGAGGGGAUGUGGGAGUGAAGACAGAGUGCGAUGCAUCAUCUGCAAGGCCAAGCAAACACUCUCUGCAGUUGGACUGCGUCUGCACUAACCCCGCUCAAGCAUAAAUCAGCAGAUACCCCACCCACCUCCUCCAGCUCUUCUGGUGGUGUAGAUGUUCCCUAGCCACCCAAGAGACAUAAUUUUUCUAUCGUGCCUCCUCCCUGUUCAUUCAAAACGCCUCACCUGCCCAGGAGGGAACCUAUUCAGAUACUUGAACGACCUCAACUGCCUCCUUUCGAUGUGGAG
ensembl:lncRNA